UUGUCUCAAAGAUUAAGCCAUGCAUGUCUCAGUACAUACCGAAAUAAGGUGAAACCGCGAAAGGCUCAUUAAAUCAGUUAUGGUUCAUUGGAUCGUACCCACAUUUACUUGGAUAACUGUGGUAAUUCUAGAGCUAAUACAUGCUUACAGAGCUCCGACCGGAGACGGAAGGAGUGCUUUUAUUAGAUCAAAACCAAUCGGCGUCGGCGCCCUAGCGGUGUCGUCGUCGCAAUGCUUGACGAGUCUGAAUAACUUUACGCUGAUCGCACGGUCCAGCACCGGCGACGCAUCUUUCAAAUGUCUGCCUUAUCAACUUUCGAUGGUAGGUUCUGCGCCUACCAUGGUUGUUACGGGUAACGGGGAAUCAGGGUUCGAUUCCGGAGAGGGAGCCUGAGAAACGGCUACCACAUCCAAGGAAGGCAGCAGGCGCGCAAAUUACCCACUCCCGGCACGGGGAGGUAGUGACGAAAAAUAACGAUACGGGACUCAUCCGAGGCCCCGUAAUCGGAAUGAGUACACUUUAAAUCCUUUAACGAGGAUCAAUUGGAGGGCAAGUCUGGUGCCAGCAGCCGCGGUAAUUCCAGCUCCAAUAGCGUAUAUUAAAGUUGUUGCGGUUAAAAAGCUCGUAGUCGAAUUUGUGUCCCGCGCCGCCGGUUCAUCGCUCGCGGUGUUUAACUGGCGUGUUCGCGGGACGUCCUGCCGGUGGGCGUCUUGCGUUCGGCGUCGGCGGUUUGCGACGUGUCGUCGUGUCGUCCCCAUUCGUGGGACGCACGCUUCCGUCCUGCCCCGGCCCGGGCGCGGCCCAACAUCGAAUCCCAUCGCGGUGCUCUUCACCGAGUGUCGAGGUGGGCCGGCACGUUUACUUUGAACAAAUUAGAGUGCUUAAAGCAGGCCAAAAAAUCGCCUGAAUAUUCUGUGCAUGGAAUAAUGGAAUAGGACCUCGGUUCUAUUUUGUUGGUUUUCGGAACCCCGAGGUAAUGAUUAAUAGGAACGGAUGGGGGCAUUCGUAUUGCGACGUUAGAGGUGAAAUUCUUGGANCGUCGCAAGACGGACAGAAGCGAAAGCAUUUGCCAAAAACGCUUUCAUUGAUCAAGAACGAAAGUUAGAGGUUCGAAGGCGAUCAGAUACCGCCCUAGUUCUAACCAUAAACGAUGCCAGCUAGCGAUCCGCCGACGUUCCUCCGAUGACUCGGCGGGCAGCUUCCGGGAAACCAAAGCUUUUGGGUUCCGGGGGAAGUAUGGUUGCAAAGCUGAAACUUAAAGGAAUUGACGGAAGGGCACCACCAGGAGUGGAGCCUGCGGCUUAAUUUGACUCAACACGGGAAACCUCACCAGGCCCGGACACCGGAAGGAUUGACAGAUUGAGAGCUCUUUCUUGAUUCGGUGGGUGGUGGUGCAUGGCCGUUCUUAGUUGGUGGAGCGAUUUGUCUGGUUAAUUCCGAUAACGAACGAGACUCUAGCCUGCUAAAUAGGCGUACUUUUCGACAUCUUAAAGUCCCGACGGUCGGUAGCCCCGUCCACUUCCGUUCGCGCGGUCGUGGCCCGGCGGCCCGGUCGCUCGUGGUUCUUACUGUCGGCGUACACAUUAUUCUUCUUAGAGGGACAGGCGGCUUCUAGCCGCACGAGACUGAGCAAUAACAGGUCUGUGAUGCCCUUAGAUGUUCUGGGCCGCACGCGCGCUACACUGAAGGAAUCAGCGUGUCCUCCCUGGCCGAGCGGCCCGGGUAACCCGCUGAACCUCCUUCGUGCUAGGGAUUGGGGCUUGCAAUUCUUCCCCAUGAACGAGGAAUUCCCAGUAAGCGCGAGUCAUAAGCUCGCGUUGAUUACGUCCCUGCCCUUUGUACACACCGCCCGUCGCUACUACCGAUUGAAUGAUUUAGUGAGGUCUUCGGACCGGUACUCGAUGGCGUUACGACGUCGCCGAUGUUGCUGGGAAGAUGACCAAACUUGAUCAUUU
rnacentral:rRNA from 1 species